rnacentral:rRNA from 1 species
AGAGUUUGAUCAUGGCUCAGGACGAACGCUGGCGGCGUGCCUAAAACAUGCAAGUCGAACGAGGGAGCAAUCUCUAGUGGCGAACGGCGGAGUAAGACAUGAACAACGUGCCCUGAAGUCCGGGACAAACGCAGAAAUGCCAUAAAUACCGGAUGUGGCCCAAUUUCGGCAUCGAGAUUGGAUUAAACGGAUUUUCGCUUCAGGAGCGGUUCAUGGCCUAUCAGGUAGUUGGUGGGGUAAUGGCCUACCAAGCCGACGACAGGUAGCGGGUCUGAGAGGAUGAUCCGCCCGAGUGGGACUGAGACACGGCCCACACACCUACGGGUGGCAGCAGUUGGGAAUCUUGCACAAUGGGGGAAACCCUGAUGCAGCGACGCCGCGUGGAGGAUGAAGGGUCUAGGCCUGUAAACUCCUUUUACCAGGAAAGACUUAGGACGGUACCUGGGGAAUAAGGACCGGCUAACUACGUGCCAGCAGCCGCGGUAAGACGUAGGGUCCAAGCGUUGUCCGGAUUUACUGGGCGUAAAGAGCGCGUAGGCGGUCUGUUAAGUGUAGAGUGAAAGCUCCGGGCUCAACCCGGAAAUUGCUCUGCAUACUGGCAGACUUGAGGAUGGAAGAGGUUUGUGGAAUUCCUGGUGUAGCGGUGAAAUGCGUAGAUAUCAGGAGGAACACCCAUGGCGAAGGCAGCAAACUGGUCCAUAUCUGACGCUGAGGCGCGAAAGCGUGGGUAGCAAACAGGAUUAGAUACCCUGGUAGUCCACGCCCUAAACGAUGGAUACUAGGCGUAAGAGGUAUCGACCCCUCUUGUGCCGCAGCUAACGCAUUAAGUAUCCCGCCUGGGGAGUACGGCCGCAAGGUUGAAACUCAAAUGAAUUGACGGGGACCCGCACAAGCGGUGGAGCAUGUGGAUUAAUUCGAUACUAACCGAAGAACCUUACCCAGACUUGACAUCGAUGGUAAGCCUCUGAAAGGAGGCCCUCCCUCUCAAGGGGACCAGAAGACACUUGUUGCAUGGCUGUCGUCAGCUCGUGCCGUGAGGUGUUUGGUUAAGUCCAGCAACGAGCGCAACCCUCGUCCUAU